rnacentral:rRNA from 1 species
AGCGAACGCUGGCGGCAGGCCUAACACAUGCAAGUCGAACGAACCUUUCGGGGUUAGUGGCGGACGGGUGAGUAACACGUGGGAACGUGCCUUUAGGUUCGGAAUAACUCAGGGAAACUUGUGCUAAUACCGAAUGUGCCCUUCGGGGGAAAGAUUUAUCGCCUUUAGAGCGGCCCGCGUCUGAUUAGCUAGUUGGUUGAGGUAAUGGCUCACCAAGGCGACGAUCAGUAGCUGGUCUGAGAGGAUGAUCAGCCACAUUGGGACUGAGACACGGCCCAAACUCCUACGGGAGGCAGAAGUGGGGAAUCUUGCGCAAUGGGCGAAAGCCUGACGCAGCCAUGCCGCGUGAAUGAUGAAGGUCUUAGGAUUGUAAAAUUCUUUCACCGGGGACGAUAAUGACGGUACCCGGAGAAGAAGCCCCGGCUAACUUCGUG